rnacentral:rRNA from 1 species
GCAAGUCGAACGAGAAAGGGUCCUUCGGGACUCGAGUAAAGUGGCGCACGGGUGAGUAACGCGUAGACAACCUACCCUCAGGUGAGGAAUAACUACGGGAAACCGUAGCUAAUACCACAUAAUGUCGGAUGGCCGCAUGGCCGACCGAUCAAAGCUCUAUGUGCCCGAGGAUGGGUCUGCGUUGGAUUAGCUAGUUGGUAGGGUAAUGGCUUACCAAGGCAACGAUCCAUAGCGGGUCUGAGAGGAUGAUC